rnacentral:rRNA from 1 species
AUUGAACGCUGGCGGCAUGCUUUACACAUGCAAGUCGAACGGCAGCACGGGGGCAACCCUGGUGGCGAGUGGCGAACGGGUGAGUAAUAUAUCGGAACGUACCCGGAAAUGGGGGAUAACGUAGCGAAAGUUACGCUAAUACCGCAUAUGCCCUAAGGGGGAAAGCGGGGGAUUCGCAAGAACCUCGCGUUUUCGGAGCGGCCGAUAUCGGAUUAGCUAGUAGGUGAGGUAAAGGCUCACCUAGGCGACGAUCCGUAGCUGGUCUGAGAGGACGACCAGCCACACUGGAACUGAGACACGGUCCAGACUCCUACGGGAGGCAGCAGUGGGGAAUUUUGGACAAUGGGCGCAAGCCUGAUCCAGCCAUGCCGCGUGAGUGAAGAAGG